CCUACGGGUGGCAGCAGUGAGGAAUAUUGGUCAAUGGGCGCGAGCCUGAACCAGCCAAGUAGCGUGAAGGAUGACUGCCCUACGGGUUGUAAACUUCUUUUGUAAAGGAAUAAAGUGAGGCACGUGUACCUUUUUGUAUGUACUUUAUGAAUAAGGAUCGGCUAACUCCGUGCCAGCAGCCGCGGUAAUACGGAGGAUCCGAGCGUUAUCCGGAUUUAUUGGGUUUAAAGGGAGCGUAGAUGGUUUGUUAAGUCAGUUGUGAAAGUUUGCGGCUCAACCGCAAAAUUGCAAUUGAUACUGGUAGUCUUGAGAGCAGUUGAGGUAGGCGGAAUGCGUGGUGUAGCGGUGAAAUGCUUAGAGAUCACGAAGAACUCCGAUUGCGAAGGCAGCUUACUAAGCUGCCACUGACAUUGAUGCUCGAAAGUGUGGGGAGCAAACAGGAUUAGAUACCCCAGUAGUC
rnacentral:rRNA from 1 species